rnacentral:rRNA from 1 species
GAUGAACGCUGGCGGCGUGCUUAAUACAUGCAAGUCGAACGGAGAGCUAGAAAUAGUUCUUAGUGGCGAACGGGUGAGUAACGCGUUGGUGACCUGCCCCGAAGAGGGGGAUAACAGUUCGAAAGGACUGCUAAUACCCCAUGAGGUCAUAGAGGUUAGAGGCUUUAUGACGGAAGGAGAAAUCCGCUUCGGGAGGGGCCUGCGUCCCAUCAGCUAGUUGGUAGGGUAAAGGCCUACCAAGGCAGAGACGGGUAGGGGACCUGAGAGGGUGAUCCCCCACACUGGCACUGAAACACGGGCCAGACACCUACGGGUGGCAGCAGUAGGGAAUAUUGCACAAUGGGCGAAAGCCUGAUGCAGCAACGCCGCGUGCGCGAUGAAGGCCUUCGGGUUGUAAAGCGCUUUUCGGGGAGAUGAGGAAGGACAGUAUCCCCGGAAUAAGGCUCGGCUAACUACGUGCCAGCCGCCGCAGUAACAC